UAUAUAGAACGAUUGUAGACGUGAAGACAGUCAAUACAAUAAAUAAUGUUUAUUUUUUCGCAUUUUAUUUUAGCAUGACAUCAUAUUCCUCUCGUUAUCCCGGCUUUUUGCCACGGCUCAUAGGAGCCUAGGGUCCGCUUCUAAACUAGUACCCCGAAUUCGUGUAUGCACUAGUUUUAACGAAAGCGACUGCUAUCUGACCUUCCAACCUAGACGGUAAACGUAAUUGGGAUUAGUCUGAUUUCCUCACGAUGUUUUCCUUCACCAUAAAGCAACUGCUAAAUAUCCAAUGAUAUUUCGUACUUACAUAAGUUCCGAAAAACUCAUUGGUACGAGCCGGUGUUUGAAGUUGAACCCGCGACCUCCGGAUUUAAAGUCGCACGCUCUUACCACUAGGCCACUAUUGCUUAUUUUAUCAUGACAAAUGAUAGUAAUAAAUACAGUAAUUAAUACCGAGGUAAAAUAUAUACUAAGAACAGAUUCCAGGCUUCCUAAGGAAGAUGAUAAUUAUGAGCAAUAAAUUUAUUACACUAUCGCUAUUUAAUAUUUAUUAUUAAAAAUCAUCACUUAAAAGUCAAUUCUACCAGCCAACAUGAGGAAAUAACUCAAAACUUGCAUCAAAUUACUUUGCAGUAUUUGCGGAUAAAACACACACUAUCUUAAAAUCUAAGGAGUAUAAUUUUCACUUAGAGUAAAAUCUAAAUGAAAAUUAAAUAUGGGAGCAACACUAUGACGAAAGUACCUACAUACCUGAAUAAAUUUAAUAGAAUUGGUCACAGUAUGGAUAUGGAAAACCUUCAAUUAAAAAGUUAAGGACAGCCAGAGCAAUUGCAACUAUGGGACUAAUGCAACUGCUCAAAAAAUACAAGAAGUCUAGAGCUAGAGCCAUUUUAUUCAUGCCACACUUUCGCCAGUCCUGAAAGAGAGUUCACCCAUGUAUAAGUGGCUCCAGAUUCUUCUUGUAUUUUUAGAGUAAUUAAAUUUGACCCAGAGUUGCAAUUGUCCUGACUAAACUUAUGAAUUGCAAGUCACGGGACAAAUUUUACUAUGUUUUACGGUACGGCGGAACGCUAAGCACAGGUAUUCUUUCACUAAAAGCCACUUGCACUAAUCACUAACGCGGGAUUAACCGGUUAAACCUGGAGUUAUCAUGGUUACAAGUACAAUUUGACACUGGGUUAACAGUUUAACCGGUUAACCCAGGGGAUGGUGCAAGCGGCCCUAAGAGAAUUUGGACUGUAAAGUGACGCUAGCCCAAUGCGACGGCUUUGAAUGUUUGCGGACUUAAGGAUGACUCACGCUAGACCAGGACGUGAUCACGUGAUAAUUUCCAUAGCCACUCACUUGCUUGAUAUUUUUCAGUGACUUCUAUUAUUAUAAUAAAAUAAGGGUGACAGCUGGUAACUACAGUUACCAAAAGCAAGCUGGAAGCUCCGGCCCGGCCCCGGCCCGGUUUAGCGUCAGUCAUCCUAUAUGCAGGUUCCCUUACAAUGUUUUCUUUUAUCGAAUAACAGCUGAUAAAAGAAUAAAAAUUAUUAUUUCGUUACAGGAUAAUCAUUUUUGUUUGGAAGCGUUAGCGCUCUACUACAAAAUUACCAUUUUUUAACAUUCACAUUGGGUUAAUAAAGAGCGUGUAAUUUAAUUUUCAACGCUUUAUGACGUCUUAUUUCACAUUGAAUUUGCUACACAAUACUUUAUAUUAAGCAUGUCCUUUAGUCGUUCGUAUUAUUAUAUUGCAAUAUGCAUAUUUUGUGAAAACGAAUCCAACUUUAAAUUGUCCUCCUUGAAACAAAGAAGGCGCUAGACGGCCCGAUUCGAACUUUAAUAUACGUCAAAUAUUAGAUCCAGAUACGAUAUGGAUCGGAUAUGUCAGUGACAAAAGUGACGUUUUUGUUUAUAGAAAUUCGGGUCGGGAAAGUUGUUUAAAAUUCUUCCCAAACAAACUUGGAUAUUUAAAAUAAUAAAAGGUACGAGUAUACUGUUUCAUAAAUAUGACAUCGUGAACAUUACUGGUUUAAAUUAUGGCCUUGUAGUACUUUUGAACACGAACUGUAAACUUCGUGCUUUGAAACCCUCGCAACGCUCAAGAUUCAAUUUUUCGAACCUCUCGUUACGUUUGGUGCAUUUAUUUUAAAAUCUUUCGCUUUUUCGUAUAUCAAUAUUAGCAAAUCAACAACUGGACGUAGUUAAAGGAAAAGGAUCCAAUCCACAAAAAUACCAAAACAUGAGUUAAGUAUACCAGGCAGGCCUUUAAUGUGUAUAUUUUCAUUCAGCAAAAAAGCACUGAGCUCACAUAGCGUUUUCAUAUUUUAAUCGACAUCGGAUACCAUCCCCCAUGUAUGAAAGAUUAAAAAUGAUAUUCACCAAUAAGUAUUCAAUACUCUUGGUACCUUGUUGUAAAAUUAUGUUAGUGACAGGACUAGUUUAUAUAAAUUUCAACAAGAAAAAUCCAGACUGCUUGGAAUCUUUUUGAGAAAAUGCAAUGAAUACUUUUCGUCCUAAAUAUAUAUCAACAAAACUGAUCCAACCCAUUUGGAUCAUUUUUGAGAAACAAUUUGACGAUGUGUAAAUACUUUAGCUAAACAACAAAAACGAUUCAGCAAACUUGGAUCACAUUUGUGGAAUUCUUGUUAUUCCAGCAUUGGUGUGUCAGUAAACAACAAAAACGAUUCAUGUUAAAUAUAUUAACUUUAGGCUGACUUUUUAAAUUUAAACAACUUUAUACUUAACCUAAAAGGCAGUUUUACUGCUAUGAUAGGCUAAUUUUGAAUUUUUUGCUAUAUAUGUCGACUUGGAUCGUAAUUCAUAAACAAGAAAGAAAUCAUUCAAACUGUUUGAAUCAUUUUUGCAGGUUUAAAUUAACUUGUUCUUAUAUUCAGCGUCAAACAUCAAAGUCGAUUUAAGUUAUUUGGAUCUUUUUUGAUAAUUUACUCCAGGUAUAGUUUCAUAGUGGCAAAUUAAUCAACGGAAAAGAUCCAGUUUACAUAAAUACGUUGUAGGGAUUUUUUUUAUUUAAAAUGGCAAUACAAUGCUAAAUUUUAAUAACGAUCCAUGUUAAUUAUAUUGUUCAUAAAAAAAAUUGCUUUUAGUAUUAAUUUCGUUUAUACGUUGCUGGUAUUAAUAAUGUUAUAGUAAUUAUAAUUUUGAAACUUUACCUAUCAUUUUUGUAACUAAAAAAACUGAUUUUGCUAUUGCGUCAUGCUGUGCAUUGUCGCGAAAGACAGGUCUGUGGAUUUGUAACGACAAAAAUGGUGAGUAAAAGCUAUUUUGGUUGAAUCCAUCAAAACUUCUUCCGAUAAGAUAAUAUAAUUUAUUAAAUUUCUGUUCUAAUAUGUGUAUGUUAUUAUUUAGCUGAGAAUAGCGAUCCUAAAUUUUUUGCAAGGAAGGCAUGCUAUGACAAGAAUGAAAAAAAUGACGAAAAUAGGCAUAAAACGGGACUGGCGGGACCUUGCUCAGCACAGGGAGGAUUGGAAAGCUAGAGGGGAGGCCUUUGCCCAGCAGUGGGACACACAAAUAGGCUAAUAAAAAAAAUAAAAAAACGAUUAGUGAUUAUAUGAGGCUUUUAUUAUCGUUAAACAGAAGUGAUCUCAAUUUUGUUAAUACUCAAUACUUUGAUAAGCUAUUACAUUGUUUUUUUAAUAAAGUUUUUUAUCUUUUCUUGGUGA